rnacentral:rRNA from 1 species
ACGUAGGAGGCAAGCGUUAUUCGGAUUUACUGGGCGUAAAGCGCGUGCAGGCGGUUCGGUAAGUUGGAUGUGAAAGCUUCUGGCUUAACUGGGAGAGGGCGUUCAAUACUACCGAACUAGAGGAUGAGUGAGGGAGGUGGAAUUUCGAGUGUAGUGGUGGAAUGCGUAGAUAUUCGGAGGAACACCAAUGGCGAAAGCAGCCUCCUGGCUCAUAACUGACGCUCAGACGCGAAAGCUAGGGUAUCGAACGG